GCAACGCCCUAAGAGUUCGACCCAGCACAGCAAAAGUCUUUGUUUCGCUUCAAGCUACCCACGCGAACUGCCGCGACAUCAGCUUUUCCUCAUUUAACCGCAACUUUAUUGGCCUUUUUAUUUUCUUUGGUUUUGUUUUGUUAAAGGUUAUCAGUCCGUUAAGUUACACGAGUUUAAUUCAAGAACAACCAAUUUCUUUUUAGCUUUAUGCGUCGAGCUAAGCCCACUGAGGACGCUGCUACGUUUCCAGCCAGCAGUAACAAAGGACGACUGACCCGAGACAGGGUUGGGAAGGCCCCACUGCGAGUUUCUUCAUUAAAAAAGACAAGAGACGGACCCCGGUGCAAUUCCCUGGCAGAGAAAGCGACUGGCCGACGGCUUGAAGCUGUCCUAAACGAGAACGCACGGACUCUGCCAGUGUGAGGCCGUUGACCAACACCCGGUGGGGAGAAACACAAGCAAGUAAACAGCUUUGAAGAUGCGGACUCCUGUGAUCCUUAAGAUCAUCCUGACUGAUGACAGCUCGGAGGAUUCCUUGUUUGGAAAUGAGUUCCUCAACCUUACCUCGAUUUCAGAAGUAGAAGACAAAGAUGGCGGCCCCCUGAGGUGCAGCAGAGUUUCUGGUCGGUGGCCUGGCUGACACCUGUUCAGCUUCUGUUCCUCCUGAGCUGCAGCAACCCUCUGCUCCUGAGCUGCAGUUGUCUCCAGUUCCUGCACUGCAGCAAUCCACUGAGAGUGUCAUUAUAGUAUGUUUUAAUAUGGACAGAAAGGGUAUGGUAGGUUGAGGGAAAUACAUGGACCAAUAAAGAAAAACAAUACAAUACAAAAACAUUUUUCUUCUCAUGAAGCCUAAUUGAUAAUUAGUUUUGUCUAGUAAAUUCCUGACAUUAGUCAGCCUGUAGACAAUUAAUUCUCCUGCUCCCCUUUCAGCACCUCAGGAUCUGUGCUGUUGGCAGACAGCUGGAACUGCAGAUCUUUGUUCGUAAUGCCAUCAACAUGGACAGCUGCGACUUGCAGACGGACAGUGGACCCGCAUCUAUAAAAGUACGAUGUGCAGCAUGUCCAUACUGACAUAUUGAUCAUACGUUUAAAGAUUAAUAUUUGUAUUAACGAUCUAAGUAGCUUAGAAGCUUCUAAAGCGGGCAACCUCACGGGGUUAAAGAGGUUUUAUACAUCCAAAGAACUUCUAUAAAAACCAGACCAGGCGUUUAAUGGAGACCUGUGUUUAUUUGUCAAAAUGUGUUCCCACACCAGGCCAUACCAUACCAGGGGUAGGCGGCUGCUUGGGACUCGGCUAUUGAUUGAAGUUUUACGGUAGUUAAUUUCAUCUAGAUAUCAAAACUUUAUCAAAAAAUUCAGGUUUUCCUUCCUAAACAUAAAGACAGGUGAGAUGUGAUAAGCAUUAGCAUGAUAACAUCUAAGCUAACUAAUGCAGGUAGAGUGCAAACACUGUGCUCAGUUGCAAACCUUUAGUGGUGAAGAAAUAUAUGGUCCACUUUAAACACUCAUUGAAGUUCUGUGGAAAAAUGCUGUGAUGCUAAUGUAAUGUUUUCUUUAGAAAUGUAACUGUUUAUGUUGUAGCUCUUAAUGCAUAUUGUUUAAUAUUAAUACAGUUAUGUUAUAUAGCUGUUCUGUGUUGUUUCAGGCAGAUGUAGCUAUGCAGAGAUUUCAGCGUCUCUAUGCUCUUAGUGUAGCAAUGUAUUUCUGUAUGUUCAGGAAGCACAGAUGCAGCGAGCCCAAUACUGGUUGAGAGACCCACUCCCAAAAUGGACAAUUAGCUUCACACCUCAGCUCCUUUUCAUACCAGUUUUACCUCUACUUCCAUGUAUACUAGCACUCUGCCAGCUAGUAGCCUGCCCGAUCCCCGAUCUACUAGUAGCCUGUCUGGUCCACUGCCUGCUAGCUAUGAACUAGCGAGCAACAGGCCUGCUAGCAACCUCUGGUAUUCACCUCAGCCAGCCAGCAUCUGCCUGCCUGAUCCUCUGCCUGCUAGUCGUGAGCCCUUGGACUGCUAGGUCACAGCCUGCUAGCCAUGGUCAAGCUAGUCCUCUCAUGCUUGGUUCCCGUCUUUCUAACAAGCCAGCCAGCAGCCACCAACCAGCCUGCAACCCACCUGCUAGCCUCCUGUUUGGUAGCGUUCUCCUGCCUGCUUCAUCUGCCUGCUGUGGUGGCUAGCCAUAUGCCUGUCCCGCCCGCCCAACCUGCACCAACUGCCUGUUACGGCUAGUACUGCAGCGUCUACGGCUGAAUUUGUACAGCAGCAUUCCCUGGCUUCAUCAGCCCUCAGUCGGUCUCCAGUCCUCCUGCCUCUGUCCCUAAGCCAGCUUCUGUUGUCAAUUCUAAGCCCGGCUAUCCUGUUCACGGUUCCCACCCUGGCUUCUCUGUUGCCGGUUCCAAGGGGAUACCGUCACGAUUCUGCCUGUGUGUGAUUAUUUGGUCUGUUCUAUAUUAGUUAUUUUAUUCUGCUCUGUAUUUGGUUUAUUGGUCCAUGUUUUCUGCCUGUCUGUGUUCCCUGUAUCAGCGUUCUGUUGUUCUGUUUUUUUUGGUGUUGUUCUAGUCCUGUGUCCCCUUGUCUGCUUGCCUGAUUGGUAUCACCUGGUGUCUCUUUCUCCCUGCUCGUUUGUGUCUCUACAUAUAUACCCUGUGAUGUGUUCAGUCUUUGUCGGAUUUUUGUCAUGUUGAGUGAGUUUCCCGCUGUUUUUCCCUGCUGCAUUUUUGCAUACCUGUGUCUGUCGAGUUUUACCUCAGUUUGGAUUUUCUGUAUUUUGAUUGUUUGGACUGUUAGCAACGAACUAACAAACUAACUAUCAGUACACUUUUGG